UCGGUACUUAAGUACCGAUUAAAGCUGUGCAGUGAGCCACUUCAACGGCAGCUGCAUAAAUCCUGUAUGGGCCGAUCCACAGAAAACGGUAGGUACCAACACAUUACAAGGAG
rnacentral:ncRNA from 1 species